AUAAAUGCAGUGAAGAGAAGAGUAAAUAAAAUGAAUUUUUCACAGAGAGCUCCAUGUAGCUGAAAAGGAGUAAAAAUUCUUUAUUGAACCAAGCCUCUGAGCAGCACAUCAGAACCUAUUAUUAGGGGAUGGUGUGACGGGAGCUCCCGUUAUAGAGCUAUGGUAUAAGCAUGAAUUAGAAUGCAGUACCUAAUAAGGUUAGUAUGGUGACAUAUUAACAAACUAGGGUGGCACCGCGAUGAUAAAUCUCGUCCCUAAG
rfam:Bacillus cereus ATCC 14579, complete genome.